UACCUCAGUAACGGCGAGUGAAGCGGUAACAGCUCAAAUUUGAAAUCUGGCAGCAAUGUCCGAGUUGUAAUUUGUAGAGGAUGUUUCGAGCAUGGUCUGGCCUAAGUUCCUUGGAACAGGACGUCAUAGAGGGUGAGAAUCCCGUAUGCGGUCAGGUGCCUACGCUCAUGUGAAACUCCUUCGACGAGUCGAGUUGUUUGGGAAUGCAGCUCAAAAUGGGUGGUAAAUUUCAUCUAAAGCUAAAUAUUGGCCAGAGACCGAUAGCGCACAAGUAGAGUGAUCGAAAGAUGAAAAGCACUUUGGAAAGAGAGUUAAACAGUACGUGAAAUUGUUGAAAGGGAAGCGCUUGCAACCAGACUUGCACGCAGCUGAUCAUCCGCUGUUCUCAGUGGUGCACUCGGUUGCGUUCAGGCCAGCAUCGGUUUUGGUGGUGGGAUAAAGGCCUUAGGAAUGUAGCUGCUUUCGGGCAGUGUUAUAGCCUAGGGUGCAAUGCCGCCUACUGGGACCGAGGACCGCGCUUCGGCUAGGAUGCUGGCGUAAUGGUUGUAAGCGACCCGUCUUGAAACACGGACCAAGGAGUCUAACAUCUAUGCGAGUGUUUGGGUGUCAAACCCAUACGCGUAAUGAAAGUGAACGGAGGUCAGAACCCUUAAGGGUGCAUGAUCGACCGGUCCUGAAGUCUUCGGAUGGAUCUGAGUAAGAGCAUAGCUGUUGGGACCCGAAAGAUGGUGAACUAUGCCUGAUAGGGUGAAGCCAGAGGAACUCUGGUGGAGCUCGCAGCGGUUCUGACGUGCAAAUCGAUCGUCAAUU
rnacentral:rRNA from 1 species